AGUGAACGCUGGCGGUAGGCCUAACACAUGCAAGUCGAACGGCAGCACAGUAAGAGCUUGCUCUUACGGGUGGCGAGUGGCGGACGGGUGAGGAAUACAUCGGAAUCUACUUUUUCGUGGGGGAUAACGUAGGGAAACUUACGCUAAUACCGCAUACGACCUACGGGUGAAAGCAGGGGAUCUUCGGACCUUGCGCGAUUGAAUGAGCCGAUGUCGGAUUAGCUAGUUGGCGGGGUAAAGGCCCACCAAGGCGACGAUCCGUAGCUGGUCUGAGAGGAUGAUCAGCCACACUGGAACUGAGACACGGUCCAGACUCCUACGGGAGGCAGCAGUGGGGAAUAUUGGACAAUGGGCGCAAGCCUGAUCCAGCCAUACCGCGUGGGUGAAGAAGGCCUUCGGGUUGGAAAGCCCCUUUGUUGGGAAAGAAAAGCAGCAGGUUAAUACCCCGCUGUUCUGACGGUACCCAAAGAAUAAGCACCGGCUAACUUCGUG
rnacentral:rRNA from 1 species